AUUAACGCUAGCGGCAGGCAUAAUACAUGCAAGUUGAACGGGAUUAGGUUUAGCAAUAGACUUAUGAGAGUGGCGCACGGGUGCGUAACACGUAUGCAACCUGCCCCUGACAGGAGAAUAGCCUCUCGAAAGAGAGAUUAAUGUCCCAUAACAUAUAGGGUAAGCAUUUACUUUAUAUCAAAGCUACGGCGGUCAGGGAUGGGCAUGCGGCUGAUUAGGUAGUUGGUGAGGUAACGGCUCACCAAGCCGACGAUCAGUAGGGGGUCUGAGAGGAUGUCCCCCCACACUGGUACUGAGACACGGACCAGACUCCUACGGGAGGCAGCAGUAGGGAAUAUUGGUCAAUGGGGGCAACCCUGAACCAGCCAUGCCGCGUGCAGGAAGACUGCCCUAUGGGUUGUAAACUACUUUUGUACGGGAAGAAAUCAAUCUACGUGUAGGUUGUUGACGGUACCGUGAGAAUAAGGAUCGGCUAACUUCGUGCCAGCAGCCGCGGUAAUACGAAGGAUCCAAGCGUUGUCCGGAUUUACUGGGCUUAAAGGGUGCGUAGGCGGUUUAAUAAGUCAGUGGUGAAAGCCUUCAGCUUAACUGAAGAAUUGCCAUUGAAACUGUUAGACUCGAGUAUGGUUGAGGUCACUGGAAUGUAACAUGUAGCGGUGAAAUGCUUAGAUAUGUUACAGAACACCAAUUGCGAAGGCAGGUGACUAAGCCAUAACUGA
rnacentral:rRNA from 1 species